rnacentral:rRNA from 1 species
GACGAACGCUGGCGGCGUGCUUAACACAUGCAAGUCGAGCGGUAAGGCCCUUUCGGGGUACGACGAGCGGCGAACGGGUAGAGUAACACGUGGGUGACCUGCCUCUAGCUCUGGGAUAAGCCUGGGAAGCUGGGUCUAAUACCGGAUAUGACCUCGCGGUGCAUGUUGCGGGGUGGAAAGCCUUGUGCGGCUAGGGAUGGGCCCGCGGCCUAUCAGCUUGUUGGNGGGGUGAGGGCCUACCAAGGCGACGACGGGUAGCCGGCCUGAGA